UGCUAUUCCGAACUGAAAUGAAACCUAUCAUCUCACUUGUGCCUUUUCCAGCGGAUUGUCAGCUACUGCAGUGAACCGAGUCUAUAUUCAGUUCAGGGGUGAUUUCUUUUUUUCUACUUCUGAAAACUGAGACGACAACCGCCAGGAUGAGCUACAGGGAUUAUAAUUUAGAUUUAUACAGUAUCCAGUACCACGGAACUUCAGUGUUUUCAUCGUGGUAUGUGAUCUUUGGAAUUGUAUUGGCUGUGGUUGUCUUGCUCCUCCUCAUCAUCUGCUGCUGCUGCUGUCCCUGCUGCUGCCUCUACCACAUGUGCCACAAGCCGCGACCUGUGGUUGGCACCACCACCCACACCACAGUGGUGACCUCCACCCCUCAGCAGUACCCCCAGCAGUACCCAAGGGGACAGUACCAGCCCAUCCCGAUGCAGCCCGGCUACCCAGCCCAGCCUUCAGCCGGCCACGGCCAGCCAUACGGAGCAGGACCUCCACCAACGUACCAGGAAGCCGUCGGUCCUAUGUACCCCUCCCAGCCGGCGCCUUACAGCCAGGCAGCGUUCGGCCCCGGGCAGCCUCCCUACCCCUUACAGCCCGCCGCCAAGCCGCAGGCCAGCGCUCCCCCCGCCGAAAUGGACUUCCUGGCUCAGCCCGCCUACAACCCGGACUACGUGGCUCCACCACACCAGACCGGAUAGAGGACGGAGGAGCUGCUCUCUGCUUCAGACGUGUUGCCGCAUUUUUCAACUUGGCAAAACUGGAAAUCUGCUUUUGGACUCAAGAAAUUCCAGAUUGUCUCGAUCAAUAGUUUUCUUUUUCGCUUUUGUGGUAAAAAAUAAUGUUACUGCAGCAGCAGCACACCUGAAGCUGAGUGGAAACAUGUCGACACCUUCCAGCCUGUAGUGCAUGGACAGAUCAUUUCCACAGACCAGCUGAUGUGGUCUUCUUUCUGUCAUCUGGAGCGUCUUAGUGACUUUAUUUCAGUCAUGAAAAGUGCUCUGUCAUUUCUCAGCCUUCUAAACGCGCCAUGGAGCCAACUUGUAUGCCUUUAAUAUCCUCCUCUCAACCUUCCAGACCUCUUUGUUCACGUAAAGUGACUGAAACUGGCCUCAGUGGUCCAGCCGCCCUUCCAGUCCACCAAGUGCUUCUUUUUAUUUGCUGAUGUUUGAUUGUUUUUUUCCCCUCUAUGCCACUUUGUAAAACAUUGAAGUGUUUUAAGGAGGAUUUGUUUGUUUGUUUAACCUUUAUUUAGCCAGGAAAGUCCCGUUGAGAUUAAAAACCUCUCUUUCCUGGGGUUUACAGAGUUAUAAAUUACAAUUACAAGAGGAUUCAUGCUGGAAAAGAGCUGAGUUAGUGUCUUUUGAGUCAAAAGCCAAUGAAAAGGAAUAUCAACAUGUCAGAGGUCAAGAAACUUCACAUCGAUCAAGUUAACAUUUCUGUGUUCAUCAGAUCAUUUAAAACCAAAGGAAAUACUUCCUUUUUCUCCAAAAACCAAACUGUGUCAUUUAUUGGGCGUCAGCUUCAAAGAAGUUAAAUUUUCUCAGUUUUUUUUCUAAAUUUGUUUAUUUAAUAUCUAGAAUUACAAGAAUUCACCAGAUUUUAAGCACUUUGUUUUAACAAGUAGAAUUAGAAAUGGAGAAAAAAAUCUAUUACCAGGAAAACAUUUGUGUACAGAAAAACAAGAGAAAAUCAUUAUUGUAUGUAUUAUUAUCUAAGUUAACAGCUUUAUAACAGUUCUGUUAAACUCAGACAUCAUGUUGGAAGUGUUCAACUGUACCAGGAGACAGAUCAGAAUCCACAGCAUCACAUGAAACAACAGCAGAGUCAUGGAGUUGUAAAAUCUCCUCCUUACUCAAGAGAAGAAGCUGGAAGUGCACAGAGGACGACACCAGUGAGUUUCCUUUUCUCUGUGAGCUCUUCAGCGCUCAAGCAAUAAUCUUAUCAUAACCAUCAGUUAUUGUGCAUUCUGUCGCCUUUAUCUUCUUUGCUUUCUGAGACCGAGGCUUUCAAAGUGGCUCAUAGCCUGCAGGAAGGACAAAGUUCAUCAAGUCAUCUCAUUUCUCAAAUGAGUGACUGUUAGAACUGGACUGGAACCAGGGCCGGGUCUAGCCAGGCAUGUAUGAGGGGGCAGCCACAAAUGUUGAGGGGGCAUUGUGCUCCAGCACCUUUUACCAUGUCUAACUGACAAAUUCACCCACUAGGAUGCGGGUGCACUGAGCAAGUACCUUGUAAAGUUGUGUCAUCUCAAAUGCUUGGCAUUUGUUUUAUUGUAAUUAUUGUUGUUAGACUAGGGCUGGGCAAUGUGACUUCAAAUCAAUAUCACGAUAUAUUGAGCACCUCACCUCCAUAACGAUAAAUGGACGAUAAUUCCGAUAAUUCCCUGUAUUAUUAGUGCUAUAUUAUUCAUAUUAUUAGUUUUCAACUUGUGAAAAGUAGGAAAUAACUGACAUCUCUUUAAAAAAAACUUUGCAGUUUUAAAAAAACAGGCAAGUUUCAUAAAUUCUGAAAUAAAUUGUGUUGUUCUUGUUAAAAAAUGAUGAGGUAUCACUUUUAUGAACAAAUGAGCUUGUGCUCAAACUUUAAUAAAGCAGUUUAGCAUCGUUGCUUUACAUACAUUUCUCCA